AGGUGGUGAAUCCUCUGGCAAGGGCAAAGAAAUCGCACCCGAGGAGUAAUAGUUGGAGUACCCGAAUUUAGUUUUCGAAAACUGUGAGUAAACUUAUUAUCGUCUUAAUUAUCUAGAGUAGUUUUAUACAAUUGUGUGAUUUUAUGAAAAAUGGGUUUAAAUGGUAAAUUACUAUGUUUUAGGAGAAAUUAUGAUUUUAUAAAAUGAUUUUAUAAAUUUUCUGGAAAAUCGAAUACUGGUUUUGAAAAUAUAGUAAUUGGAGACUGCCUGCUUGUGUUGUAAAUUUAUGGUUUUAAAUUGAAUGGCUUAUGACAAUAAAUGAGCAUGAAUGGCUAAACUGAUUUUGGUGUUAGAAUUAUUUGUACUGUGUAUUUAGCCUUGAGAGGCUAGGUUGCGAUAAAUUGCCAUGUCAUGCAGAAAAAGAUUUUAUAAAUCAGGUGGUAGAUAAAAGAUUAGCUACUGCAGUGGUGGGGGGUUCCGUGGGCCAGCCUAUUAGAGGGGCACGGUAAACUCCUUUAUAUUCUCACCUCGGUCGUAGAGGCGCGUAGGGUAUCUCCUGAGGUGGGCUUUUUGAGUGCACUUCACGUGAACCACCACGUGAGAGUGAGACUCAGCCAACGCCAAGGAACGGCUAUGUUUUCAAAUAAAAAUAUGAUUUAUGCGAAAUAUGAAUUUUUAACAGCCUUGGCGGACUCGGUUGGAUACCCCUGGUCCAGGUGUCACCGAGUACAGGAUUUGGCAUGAGCCAAGUUUUGAGUAAUUCACGAGCCAUAUUGAUUAUUUGGUUGAAAUGAAUAUUCGUGAUGUGAAAAAUUUACUGAAGUUAAUUAUUUUUAAUUGUCUCCAUUUACUCGCCUUUAGAUAGUUUAGAUGGUGUUUGUUUACUCACUGGGAUUUUAUAAUCUCACCACCCUCAAUUCCCCACAUUUCAGGUUCGGGAUAGCCGGUAGAUAGCCGAUUGCAUCAAGGACUUCAGUUAGCCUUGCAUUGUCAAAAUUAUAGGUUCACAGACUCGCAUCUUAUUGGUUAGUUGGGGGCCCACGUGUCAUUGUAAAAGUAAUUUUAUACUUUAGUUAUCUGAUUUAAAAUAUGUAUGAACAUAUUUAGCUUUUACACCAUGUUUUUGGCGAGUUUCGGUAUUAUC
rnacentral:lncRNA from 1 species